CACGCGGUCGCUGGGCAGCGGACUCCUGGGCUGCAGGUGGCCCGCGGGCUGAUCCAGGAAAUGCAUUUGUAGGUCUCAGGAACUCUGAAGGAGGCCCUUAAAAAAAGUAACUCAAAAUGGAUGAUAAACGUGAAAGCUGAAACUCUUAAGUACAUUUCUAGAAGAAAACAUUGAGAGAAAAAUCUUCAUGAUUUUGAGACACCAUGAAGAAAAUGAAAAGGCAAGCCAUAAACGGGAAGGAGGAAUUUCGAAUACGAUAUAUUUGACAAAAGACUUGAAUCCAGAAUACAUAAAGAACUCUUGUAAAUGAAUAAGAUGAACAACCCGAACAAACAAUGGGCAAGAGGUUUUACUAAACAAUUCACCGAAGAAGAUAUAAAAAUGGCCAAUAAGCAACAAAGCGGUGCUUGGUAUCUUUAAUCAUCCAGGGAUCUUCACGCUAAAACCGCAAUAAGAUGCCUCUGCACUCUCACUACAGUAGCUGAAAUUAUAAAAACUGAUGACCCAGCGACCACAUUCGUACACAUCUCCUUAACUAUACUUAAGCUCCAAAUAAAGAUAAUAACAAAGUCAUACUUGCGCCUAACAUGAUACGACUCAGCUGCAUACAACCAAAACACCACAACACUUUCCACAAAAGAGGAUGCAAACUUUCCGAGUGAUACCCCCUUUCUGCUUUUGACAUCCUGUAACUUAAU